GGGUUGUGAGGUUAAGCGACUAAGCGUACACGGUGGAUGCCCUGGCAGUCAGAGGCGAUGAAGGACGUGCUAAUCUGCGAUAAGCGUCGGUAAGGUGAUAUGAACCGUUAUAACCGGCGAUUUCCGAAUGGGGAAACCCAGUGUGWUUCGWCACACUAUCAUUAACUGAAUCCAUAGGUUAAUGAGGCGAACCGGGGGAACUGAAACAUCUAAGUACCCCGAGGAAAAGAAAUCAACCGAGAUUCCCCCAGUAGCGGCGAGCGAACGGGGAGCAGCCCAGAGCCUGAAUCAGUGUGUGUGUUAGUGGAAGCGUCUGGAAAGGCGCGCGAUACAGGGUGACAGCCCCGUACACAAAAAUGCACAURCUGUGAGCUCGAUGAGUAGGGCGGGACACGUGGUAUCCUGUCUGAAUAUGGGGGGACCAUCCUCCAAGGCUAAAUACUCCUGACUGACCGAUAGUGAACCAGUACCGUGAGGGAAAGGCGAAAAGAACCCCGGCGAGGGGAGUGAAAAAGAACCUGAAACCGUGUACGUACAAGCAGUGGGAGCACGCUUAGGCGUGUGACUGCGUACCUUUUGUAUAAUGGGUCAGCGACUUAUAUUCUGUAGCAAGGUUAACCGAAUAGGGGAGCCGAAGGGAAACCGAGUCUUAACUGGGCGUUAAGUUGCAGGGUAUAGACCCGAAACCCGGUGAUCUAGCCAUGGGCAGGUUGAAGGUUGGGUAACACUAACUGGAGGACCGAACCGACUAAUGUUGAAAAAUUAGCGGAUGACUUGUGGCUGGGGGUGAAAGGCCAAUCAAACCGGGAGAUAGCUGGUUCUCCCCGAAAGCUAUUUAGGUAGCGCCUCGUGAAUUCAUCUCCGGGGGUAGAGCACUGUUUCGGCAAGGGGGUCAUCCCGACUUACCAACCCGAUGCAAACUGCGAAUACCGGAGAAUGUUAUCACGGGAGACACACGGCGGGUGCUAACGUCCGUCGUGAAGAGGGAAACAACCCAGACCGCCAGCUAAGGUCCCAAAGUCAUGGUUAAGUGGGAAACGAUGUGGGAAGGCCCAGACAGCCAGGAUGUUGGCUUAGAAGCAGCCAUCAUUUAAAGAAAGCGUAAUAGCUCACUGGUCGAGUCGGCCUGCGCGGAAGAUGUAACGGGGCUAAACCAUGCACCGAAGCUGCGGCAGCGACGCUKAUGCGUUGUUGGGUAGGGGAGCGUUCUGUAAGCCUGUGAAGGUGUACUGUGAGGUAUGCUGGAGGUAUCAGAAGUGCGAAUGCUGACAUAAGUAACGAUAAAGCGGGUGAAAAGCCCGCUCGCCGGAAGACCAAGGGUUCCUGUCCAACGUUAAUCGGGGCAGGGUGAGUCGACCCCUAAGGCGAGGCCGAAAGGCGUAGUCGAUGGGAAACAGGUUAAUAUUCCUGUACUUGGUGUUACUGCGAAGGGGGGACGGAGAAGGCUAUGUUGGCCGGGCGACGGUUGUCCCGGUUUAAGCGUGUAGGCUGGUUUUCCAGGCAAAUCCGGAAAAUCAAGGCUGAGGCGUGAUGACGAGGCACUACGGUGCUGAAGCAACAAAUGCCCUGCUUCCAGGAAAAGCCUCUAAGCAUCAGGUAACAUCAAAUCGUACCCCAAACCGACACAGGUGGUCAGGUAGAGAAUACCAAGGCGCUUGAGAGAACUCGGGUGAAGGAACUAGGCAAAAUGGUGCCGUAACUUCGGGAGAAGGCACGCUGAUAUGUAGGUGAAGUCCCUCGCGGAUGGAGCUGAAAUCAGUCGAAGAUACCAGCUGGCUGCAACUGUUUAUUAAAAACACAGCACUGUGCAAACACGAAAGUGGACGUAUACGGUGUGACGCCUGCCCGGUGCCGGAAGGUUAAUUGAUGGGGUYAGCGCAAGCGAAGCUCUUGAUCGAAGCCCCGGUAAACGGCGGCCGUAACUAUAACGGUCCUAAGGUAGCGAAAUUCCUUGUCGGGUAAGUUCCGACCUGCACGAAUGGCGUAAUGAUGGCCAGGCUGUCUCCACCCGAGACUCAGUGAAAUUGAACUCGCUGUGAAGAUGCAGUGUACCCGCGGCAAGACGGAAAGACCCCGUGAACCUUUACUAUAGCUUGACACUGAACAUUGAGCCUUGAUGUGUAGGAUAGGUGGGAGGCUUUGAAGUGUGGACGCCAGUCUGCAUGGAGCCGACCUUGAAAUACCACCCUUUAAUGUUUGAUGUUCUAACGUKGACCCGURAUCCGGGUUGCGGACAGUGUCUGGUGGGUAGUUUGACUGGGGCGGUCUCCUCCUAAAGAGUAACGGAGGAGCACGAAGGUUGGCUAAUCCUGGUCGGACAUCAGGAGGUUAGUGCAAUGGCAUAAGCCAGCUUGACUGCGAGCGUGACGGCGCGAGCAGGUGCGAAAGCAGGUCAUAGUGAUCCGGUGGUUCUGAAUGGAAGGGCCAUCGCUCAACGGAUAAAAGGUACUCCGGGGAUAACAGGCUGAUACCGCCCAAGAGUUCAUAUCGACGGCGGUGUUUGGCACCUCGAUGUCGGCUCAUCACAUCCUGGGGCUGAAGUAGGUCCCAAGGGUAUGGCUGUUCGCCAUUUAAAGUGGUACGCGAGCUGGGUUUAGAACGUCGUGAGACAGUUCGGUCCCUAUCUGCCGUGGGCGCUGGAGAACUGAGGGGGGCUGCUCCUAGUACGAGAGGACCGGAGUGGACGCAUCACUGGUGUUCGGGUUGUCAUGCCAAUGGCACUGCCCGGUAGCUAAAUGCGGAAGAGAUAAGUGCUGAAAGCAUCUAAGCACGAAACUUGCCCCGAGAUGAGUUCUCCCUGACUCCUUGAGAGUCCUGAAGGAACGUUGAAGACGACGACGUUGAUAGGCCGGGUGUGUAAGCGCAGCGAUGCGUUGAGCUAACCGGUACUAAUGAACCGUGAGGCUUAACCUUACAACGCCGAAGMUGUU
rnacentral:rRNA from 1 species